rnacentral:miRNA from 1 species
AAGUUGGAUGGAGAGGAUC